UCCGGGUCCUCCACGGCGCACGGGUGGAAGUACUUCACAGACGUUUCAGACCCUUCCACGCGGGCAGAGUUUCAGGCUCAGAACCGGUGACCUCCUUCGAGACACCGUUUCGUGGACAUUGAGUCGCUGCUCUGGGGCCAGUGUGCUGCAUUCUGGAGUUGGCGUUUCCUGAGAGGGCCCUGGAAGCCAAGUCUGCAAGGAGGGCCUGGUGUGGAAGGCACCGGCAGAGUUCUCCCCUCAGGGCGCCUCAGAGUCUCUGCUGUAUUUGGCAUCGGGACUUCCUGGGGGGCAAAGUGACAGCUCUUUGUCCUGACUUAAAAUCAAUGAAUGUUUCUUUAGUCAUAAACAGAGCAGCUCUGCUCUGCUAUUCAGCUUACGGCACCUUCAGAACAUGCCCACAAGGACUCACUGUGACCCAUUUCACAGAUGAGGAAGUUAAGGCACCAAGAGGAAGCGCCUCGCUCAUGAUCACAAGCCAACAACUGAAGAUGGCAGGGACAAGUCUGUACAGGAGGAAGCCUGGUAGUCAAGAAAAGGCCCAUCUUCUAACCUUCGGAGCCUGGGAUGGCAACAAAAUCAUUUGCUCUUCCUUCCAAGUGUCUGACAGGUCCCCCCAGUUUCUCUAGGUUCAUUAUGAAGGUGUCAGACCCCGUCAGAAAUUUGAUGGCAGCCACACAUUAUCAA